GGGGCCUUAGCUCAGCUGGGAGAGCGCCCGCUUUGCAAGCGGGAGGUCGUGGGUUCGAAUCCCACAGGCUCCACCA
rnacentral:tRNA from 1 species